rnacentral:lncRNA from 1 species
CAGCACCUUCUGCUGAGCCUGAGACCAUAACUAACUAACUGAGCUGCAGGGAACACUCUGAGGAGCAAACAUGAGGACCAAUACAAGAAUCCUGUGGACUAUUUUAGUUAUAGAUUUUCUCCUCCUCCUGGCUGAGUCUGACCCCACACCUUCUGCUCUUGCUACGCCUACCACUGCAACGCCGACCCCAAUUAAGCCUACCGAAGCACAGCCUACAAAUGUAACAGCUUCCAUUACCAAUGUAACGCUUCCUGAUGCAGGACCUACCACUGCAACGCCUUCCCAUUCAGAGUCUACACCUGGAAAGCCUGUGACUACAGAGCCUCCCACUACAAAGCCUAUCACUAAAGAGCUUACCUUUACAAACCUUACUACCAUAGUGCCUACUGAUGUAAAUGCUACCACUAAUGAGUCUAUCUCUACAAUGCCUGACCCUACAGGGUCUCCAACUGUAAAGCUUCCCCCCAAAGUGCCUAUCACUACAAUGCCUGCCACUACAGUGCCUGCCACCACAGGGCCUGCCGCUAAAAAGCCUACCGCUGAAAAUCCUACCACUGAAAAGGUUACCCCUGAAAAUACUACCCCUGAAAAGCCUACCACUAAAAAUCCUACCACUACAAAGCCUAUCUCUGCAGACUCUACAUUGGCUAGUCCUACCGGUUCUGGUCCAGCCCCACGUCAUCCUGCCACUCCAGCUCCAUCCUCUGUGGUUUCUACACAUCGGCAGCCUGCCUCUGACCAAACACCUGCUUUAGGUCCUAAAACACCGGCCCCUACUACUGUUGCUUCUAAGCAACCUGCCAGCACACAACCAGGACCAAAUCCGACAACAGAAGGUAUCAAAAAUUAAGCCAUUUUAUUUUUGUCAAGAAACAAUGUCCAUAGCAGUUCAGAAAUCAAAGCUGUCCCAUGUAACCCUCCUAUUAAGUUCAUUUGUCAGGAACAGCAAUGGUGUUCCUGGGUCAUUUUGAACCGGAGCAUGUUUAAUUAUCCAAAAGAUGUCUGAAACCCCAAACAAUUUUUACAAGCAGUGUAAAGUUAGUAAGUUCAUUACUAACUCCAUUACUAAUUAUUCUAUCAAUAUUUAGUCCAAUAGUGUUCUUUACCUCUAUCAUUCCUCUAUAAUUCACUCGUUUUUAAUAAAAAAAGACAUGUUUAAACUUUUUAAAUGUUU